CGGAGAGGUACCAGGAUCCGGCUCAAAUAGGUUCGGAACAAAACAGUCCAAAACAGAGAGGUACCAGGAUCCGGCUCAAAUAGGUUCGGAACAUAACAGUCAAAAACGGAGAGGUACCAGGAUCCGGCUCAAAUAGGUUCGGAACAUAACAGUCAAAAACGGAGAGGUACCAGGAUCCGGCUCAAAUAGGUUCGGAACAUAACAGUCAAAAACGGAGAGGUACCAGGAUCCGGCUCAAAUAGGUUCGGAACAAAACAGUCCAAAACGGAAAGGUACCAGGAUCCGGCUCAAAUGAAGCACUGGCUACUACUAUGUCAUCAUAGUUCAUGGCCAUACCAUCUAGGUAUACGUUGUAAUUUCUAAAGUGAGAUGAGGCCUCACUUCACCACCUACUACUCACUGAAUGACCUUCAUAUGUACUACCCCUCAAUAAAGGUAGCUAGCAAAACAUUCAACGUUUUCUACCACCAUGAACGAAUCUAGGCCAUGGAACCAUCCUUUCUUACAGGGUAGCCAUGUGCAAAGCAAUUAUAGUGAGUUGAGUCUUCGUUAAUUAUGUCUAGGAAAUGCAUCAAGGUCUCCAGGGCUAGGCCUAUUU
rnacentral:lncRNA from 1 species